GAUCUAGUGGCGCAGCGGUCUAAGGCACUGUAUCUCAGUGCUAGAGGCGUCACUACAGACACCCUGGUUCGAAUCCAGGCUGUAUCA
rnacentral:tRNA from 1 species